AUGAAUCUUUUUUGUAGUUCAUCCCAAUUCCAAGUUGCUGGUUUUGGUUUGUUGGGUUGCUUCUCCGCCGGCAAAUGUUGCGCUGCAGACUCGCUCAGCCCGUUUUUUGUUUUUUUCCCGCUCUUUCACACCUACAUGCGCGCGCGCGCCCCCGCGCACAUCCACCCAAGCACACGGGCACCUCUCCACGAACACGGCAUCGUGCGUUAUCCUGGGAUCCGGGCAGCAGCAAAGCGGAGGAUGAUUAACAGCGCGUGCUCUGGAAUAAAGCUUGCCAGGUCUUCCCGCGUAAUUGAAGAGGAGAGACUCAAGAAGCAAAGAAAUCCCUUUCAUCUGGAUUUCUUCGAACAGCAGUCUAAGAGAACACUUGGUAUAAUCCUCCUCCUAAUGUCUCAUCCAUCUGACAGCCUACACCUCACCGCCAGUGACUUGGGGCCGGGAGGGGACAAAUGAAGAGCUCUAACAUAAAGGGUAAAAAGCCCACACAUGGUAAAGUAUAUAAG
rnacentral:lncRNA from 1 species